UGAGUAGGCCGGACGGCCGCGGCGCACUUCGGGUGCGUCGAGGAAAGUCCGAGCUCCACAGGGCAGGGUGCUUGGUAACGCCAAGGCGGGGCAACCCGACGGAAAGUGGCACAGAAAACACACGGCCCAAGCCGCGCUAUGCGUGGCCUCACGCGGCGCGUGGCCGGCAAAGGUGAAAAGGUGCGGUAAGAGCGCACCAGCGGCCUGGCGACAGGCCGGCUUGCCAAACCCCACCCGGAGAAAGUCCAAAUAGGGGAGCGAUGGGGUGGCCCGCCCCGCUCCCGGGUAGGACGCUCGAGGCGCGCGGCGACGCGCGUCCCAGAUGAAUGGCCGUCUCGGCGCUCUCGGGCGCUAGACAGAACUCGGCUUACAGGCCUGCUCACGUU
rnacentral:RNase_P_RNA from 1 species